UGAGGGUAUAUGAUGAAUCCCAUUAAUCAAAUGGGUAUUGUGCGUCUGAAUUUACAUUGAUGCUUUAUCACCUUGGAGAACUGAUCCCCUUU
rfam:Spinacia oleracea cultivar SynViroflay scaffold5891.con0008.1, whole genome shotgun sequence.